rnacentral:rRNA from 1 species
UACGGAGGGUGCAAGCGUUAAUCGGAAUUACUGGGCGUAAAGCGCACGUAGGUGGUUUGUUAAGCCAGCUGUGAAAUCCCCGGGCUCAACCUGGGCACUGCAGUUGGAACUGGCAAGCUAGAGUAGGGUAGAGGGGUGUGGAAUUCCAGGUGUAGCGGUGAAAUGCGUAGAUAUCUGGAGGAGCAUCAGUGGCGAAGGCGACUACCUGGCCUGUUCUUGACGCUGAGGCGCGAAAGCUAGGGGAGCAAACGGG